rnacentral:tRNA from 1 species
GGGCUUGUGGUGAAAUUGGCAGACACGCAAGACUUAGGAUCUUGUGCUUUACCGCGUGCGGGUUCGAGUCCCGCCAAGCCCA